UAGGAGUCAUCCACACAAGCCCACGAAUCUCGACCAGAAGUCCUACUUCAAGAAAUCAGCACAGUAUGCUAGUACUGCGUUGAUCCUUCUUUGAUGGUUGAUUAGGUGCCUCCUUCUUCUUAAUUUAGACUCUUCCAAAGAUGAGAAGAAAGAGGAGGAGUUUCAGAUCUGAGACACUCUCAGAAAACUCAAGGUGGAGGAAGGAAAGAGAUGAAACUAACAACCCUAGA
rnacentral:lncRNA from 1 species